CCCAACUCAAUUUUUACAAUGCCCUUCCACUUGUCCCGCGAUCCCAAGGCCAAGUUGGAGCUGCUUUUGGGCUUUGCAGUGCUCAUCUGAUGGCUCGGUGAUCGUCUCUCUGAUCCUCAAACACAAACACGCACCUCCAAACAACACCCCGUCGGCCUUUGGGCAGGUGAUGUCGAUGCCGAUGACGACGAAGGCAGCGGUGACGGCUUCACCUUCCGCAUGAAGAUGUCUUCUGCCGAGCUGUGGUUCAGCCCAGCCUAAAACUCUCCGUUGUUUGUUUUUCUUUUGUUUGGGAGCCCGUAAGUACAUCCCCUCCCGUAAGCCCAAACUGCCCGGAUCGUGCCUGAAAAACCCUGCAGGAGGUAGCUCCGGCGCCGCCGGCUUGACUUUUUCGAGUUAGGUAUUCGUUCUUCCUUGGCCGUCCAGGACUCCGGGACGGGUGAACUUUUCUUGGGACCCGAUCAGUUUAUUGAUGCCGUGGCUUCUGCAAUGGCUUCUUCGUAUGUUGGUUCCUUACCUCUAGGUGCUCGCUUUCUUUUCCAAGUUCCAACCCAUUGGUCUUCAUAUUCGGUUCUCUUUAGUCUGUCAUCACGUCGCUAAUGCCACUGUUUGUCCUGCUCUAGGCCGCUACCACAGCGGAAAUAUAGGGAGAGUGUUAAGGCUUGAGAGGGGGUUGCAAGGGUAGUUCCAAAUCUUAGAGUAGAUAACUGGCCCAGCCUUGUUGUGAGAUCUAGCACUAUUGGUUAAGGGAGGCCCCUGAUUGGUCGGAUUUAGGUGUAAAAUAAUAAAACCUAAAGACCCCUAUAGUGGCCUUCUGUAAAGGCUACUACAAGGGGUUUCCUUUCUUCUUUUUUUUUUUUUUUUUUUUUUUUUUUUUUUUUUUUUUUUUUUACUUAUUUGGGGGUAGGCAGGGGCUCGGAUGAAGGUAUUCACACUUUCACUUCGGCGAGACUUCUCGCGCGACGGAAAAAAAGUUGCCUUCGAUUGGAAUUGAACUAGCAACCACAAGAAAAAGAGCAACGAUAGAAACUAUUGAGCCACUAGCCCAAAUAAUUAAUAGAGCCGUUCGUUAUUGCCUUUAAUAUAGGGAAAUAAGAAGGUGGAAGAGGGGGGGGGGGGUAAAAAGGAAAGAACGGAGUAGUUCAGCCAAUAAGAGCCCUUCCUUGAACAAUAGUGCUAGGGAGCCAACAGUGCUAGAUUUCACAACAAGGCUUGUGAAGAUUGCAAGCGUUGAACCCCCCCAACAAGGCUUGAUGCGCUGGUGAUUUUCCCGCUAUGGUAUACACCGACCCAGUGAACAAGAGAGGAGGAUUUGCGUGACGGUGCCCGACUUCCUUCAAUUCAACGUGCUCCUCGACAUCCGCCACAAGUUCCCCAAUCCGGGGUUUGAUCAUCUUUCAUACAAGACGUGCCUUGAAGUAGGUAGAGGUACCUUAUGACACGGCAUUUCCCACUGGGAAACCGCUGGGGACUCGAUGGGAAGCCACUGCCUUGGUGCCCACAGGCAUGGGCUACUACCCAUAAGGCCUGUCAACAGAGCCUCAAGCUCCUUCGAGACUCAGAUGGAAUCAUCAUCAUCAGAAUUCAUUGAUUGAGAGCUACGCUGGUUUCCACGCAUCAUAUUAUCUAGACCUAAAUCAAGCAAGACAUCUUAC